UACAGAGGGUGCGAGCGUUACUCGGAAUUACUGGGCGUAAAGCGUGCGUAGGCGGUUAUUUAAGUCGGGUGUGAAAGCCCCGGGCUCAACCUGGGAAUUGCAUUCGAGACUGAAUAGCUAGGGUACGGUAGAGGGAAGUGGAAUUUCCGGUGUAGCGGUGAAAUGCGUAGAUAUCGGAAGGAACAUCAGUGGCGAAAGCGACUUCCUGGACCAGUACCGACGUUCAGGCACGAAAGCGUGGGGAGCAAACAGG
rnacentral:rRNA from 1 species